rnacentral:snRNA from 1 species
AUACUUAUCUGGCAGGGAGAUAUCAUGAUUAUGAAGGUGGUUUUCCCAGGGCGAGGCUGAUCCACUGCACUGGGGAUCUGCUGACUCCUGUAAUUUCCCCACAUGGAGGAAACUCAUUUGCAUACUUUGUGUUGGUGGGGAGUUGCUUCCAUGCUUUCCCCU